CCAGCAGCAGGAACAGCAGCAGCUGCCCUCUAUCAUUCACAUGUUCCAUAUGUGUGGUCAGGACAGAUAAUACCAGGAAUUGUUCCAUGUCCUGGGAUGGCUUUAAAGCAAUAACAAGCUUCCUGAGUUUUGUGCUGCUGGACACGGCCAAGCUGGUCCAUAACAGGGAAGGAUGCCCUGGAGAUCUGACCCACAAGAAAGGGCCCGGACGAUUGGGAUGGGCAGGGACACUCUGGAUAGCAGGUGGCCAGUUUGGGACCUGACCUUCACUGGAGCUGGCUGAGCAAGGCUGCCUCUCACAGGGGGCGAGGGCAGCGUGGUGACACAGCCUGGCUUUUUUUGGCCAUGGAGAUUGGAUUGCAAGGCCAGCAUGGAUGGACUCACCAUGGCGCAGAGACAACAUGGAUGGACUCUCCAUGGGGCUCUGUCUACCUGCGCCUCACCUUACUCUGUGUCCCCUCCCACAAAGGCACCACCCACAGACACAGAGCCUCCAGCUGCGCCCAACGCCUCCACCCACCAGGAGAGGGACAAAAAUAUUCUGGGUCUUGGGGUUUUUAUCUUGUUCUCUUGUCUCAAAAGAUACAUCUCAGUUU